rnacentral:pre_miRNA from 1 species
AGUGAAGUUGCUGGGUCAUAUGGUAAGUUUAAGUUUCAUUUUAUAAGAAAAUACCAAACUCUUUUCCAGAGUGGCUGUACCAUUUUGCAUUCCCAGCAGU